rnacentral:rRNA from 1 species
ACGGAGGGUGCAAGCGUUAAUCGGAAUUACUGGGCGUAAAGGGUGCGUAGGUGGUUAAGUAAGUUAUCUGUGAAAUCCCUGGGCUCAACCUGGGCAGGUCAGAUAAAACUGCAUAACUCGAGUAUGGGAGAGGGUAGUGGAAUUUCCGGUGUAGCGGUGAACUGCCUAGAGAUCGGAAGGAACACCAGUGGCGAAGGCGGCUACCUGGGAUAAGACUGACGCGGAGUCCCGAAAGCGUGUGGAGCAAACAG